rnacentral:lncRNA from 1 species
AAAUACCAGUAUUUGGGUGGUGGAGGAUAUUGGUAUAUUAUAUUGACCUGGGUUGAUGACUACUGGACUAUUUUAAGAUACCUACUUCCAAAACUUAUUUUAUUCUAGAGGACCACUAAAAAUCAGAAUUACAGCAAUCAUUUUAAUUUUUCUACUUUCCUUGUUAAGGUCUUCUGCUUACCCAAAGAAUAGUGUAUAUCUUAACAUGACUUUUAAAGGGGUAUCUUGAUCCCCAUCACAGAUUUUUAUCUAUGAAUAGAAGGAUUGAAACCCUAUUUGAUCCCUAGCUCUUUGCUGAAAAGUGCAUAAACAGGAAUCCUGAAUUUAUUAUAUAGACCUCCUCGCAUUAUAUAAUCGAAGCAAAGGGAAACCAGCGAUGGAGUAGAGGUACGUAGACUAAAGAGAUGCUUGCAAAUGAUGGUACCUAGGGAUAGUCACAUUUUCUUGUUGCCAAACUCAGACAAUAUAAUCACAAGUCCAGAGAAGAGCUAGUUAAUUUUAAAUUCCCCGAGGUCCUUUUACUGAGAUGGAAAAGCACAAACAGUCAAGGAAAACCAAAGAGGGAGGGGUGAGGGAAGGGGAAAGUGCAUAAAGCACUUAAAGAUUUUUUAAAAGUAGGUAUGAUAGAUAAGCCACAAGAAGUUUUUAAGACUACUAAUAACCAUAAUUCUAUUUUAAUCAGCUAUUUAGCUGGUACCUACUGCUAUAUCACCUAGUGUGACAUUUCGGAAUUAAUGGAACAAUGAAGGAAGCUGUACACUGGAGGUUCCAGGUGGUCAUGGAAGGUUUCCAGUUUAUGCAAACUUCUGUGAAAAUGAGCUUUGUUAUUGGUGAAGACAUUGGAAAUUUUACCAGCCAAAACAGAGUUUCUCUCUUAUUCAGGGUAAGAUGUAAUUGCAGUGUGCUAGCGCUGGAAGGGACCUGUUUUAUAUGUUAUGUAUGUUACACGUCAGCCCUCCAUGUCCUCCAGUUCUGCAUCCUUGGAUUCAACCAACUGUGGGUUGAAAAUACUGGAGGUAAAAAGACAAAAAAUAACAAUGAAGAACAACAACAAAAAUACACAGUAUAAUAAUUACAUUUACAUAGCAUUUAUUUUGUAUUAGACAUUAUAAGUAAUCUAGAGAUGAUUUAAAGUAUAUGGGAGAAUGUAUGUAGAUUAUAUGGAAAUAUGAGGGUAUUUUAUUUAAAGGGACUUGGGCCUGUGGAUACCAAGGAAUAACUAAGGUAAAACUGAGCAUAAGUGGCCUGUCCAUAUUUUGUUAAAUAUCAGAUUAUUGAUUAGUGAUCAUCAACAUUUUCCCGCAUUCAUGCAGUGCGGCCUCUGAAAACAUGGUUGAACAUCCUAUGGAAUUUUUUUUUUUUUUUGAGAUGGAGUCUCACUCUGUCACCUAGGCUAGAGUGCAAUGGCGCGAUCUUGGCUUACUGCAACCUCCGCCUGCCCCACCUCGGGUUCAAGUGAUUCUCCUGCCUCAGCCUCCUGAGUACCUGGGACUACAGGCAUGCACCACCACGCCCGGCUAAUUUUUGUAUUUUUAGACGAGACAGGGUUUCACCCUGUUGGCCAGGCUGGUCUCAAACUCCUAACCUCAGGUGAUCCAACUGCCUCGGCCUCCCAAAGUGCUGGGAUUACAGGUAUGAGCCACCGUGCCCAGCAGAAUUUUUUAACUAUUUGGUUACGACUAAUUUGGAUAAUGUAGUGCAUGCAGCUUUGAUUUGUGCCACUAAGAGUGGGCAAACUGUCUUCCUUUUUGUGAAUCAGUAAAAAUUUUCCCUCAACAUGUGUUUGACAGUUGUCAUUCACUGCUAAGUUAAGGCAUUUGGUAAACCACACAGCCUCUGCAUCCUUCCUAGCGACAGCCACAAGAAAAGGUGGGCAUGGGAGGGAAAAUGCUCUUGUGAAUUGAACUGGAGGCAAGCUCCACUUUUCUUUAGAAAAAGAUGUAGAUCAAAAUAACUAAUAUUUUCUUCCUUGCUCGAUUUCUGUGCCUUCCAUGGUACAUCAAAAUAAUAGGACCAGUAAUGGCCACAAUCCUGUUGACUGCUGUUACCUUCGCCCCAAUAUUUCUUUAAGCAUUUCUUAAGCAUCUAGCUUGUGUUUUGUUAUAUUUAACAGAUUUUCUUAAAGUAUUGUAUGAAUUAAAACCAGAAAUAACUUCAUUUUCCUAGAAAGGGAUAAUUUCUCCCGGAGAAUAAAUCCUGAGGAUUUAGUUAGAUGCUGUGGGUAUUGUAUUUUAAAUAAUAUUUUAAUGGGAGCAGCUGAUUGACUUUCAAAUGGAUUGUUUACAUUAAUAGUAAUUCUGCAGUUGUUUUACUAUUGCAUCAGUCUGCCAGACAAGUUCCAUGUGCAUAUUUUAAUUCAGAACUAAUUAUACUUAAAAAUUUAAACCCUGCAUACUUCCCCAAAAAUGUUUAGGGCAGUUAAAAACAACUCUUUUGGAAGAUGACUCGCAUUUUAAGAAAUGAGAGAACACUGUCAAAUGAUGAAUGCAUUUAAAAAAUAAUUUGCAAAGUGAUAAAAGCCCUUAGUUUUAAAUCUUACAAUGACAUUAGCUCUUACAAGAACUCAGUAAGUAUUUGCUGUUUUUUAAUGGGAUAGUAAUAAGGUUGAGGUUUUUGUUAAGGGACGUUUACUUAUCAUCAAACUCUAUACUUACUACUACAAGGAAACUCCAAGUACAUUAAACACUAUGUUUUAUAAUUCUUUGCCACACUGCCAAUAAAUUCUGUUCACAUUUUAAGGAUGACAAGUCCACUAUAUGUAACACGUAAGAAUGCUAUCCUGGCAGUAGACACAGGGCCAGAAUAAACUGGCAAGUUUUCAUUCCACACAAGUGUGGGAAAAAAAUGACUACAACUUAAACUUUAUUUACUUGAUUGAGAGCUUAUUGCACAUGAAAUGUUUUAUGUGGUUGAUCUUAACUUCGUUUACAUUGACUUCUAUGCUCAAGAUUGUUCAAUUGCUGCUGCUGCCGUUGUGUUUUCUUUCAGGAUCGAGGUGGGUACCUUCAUAUAAUAUCUUCUUUUUAAUUUCUUCUCUGGCAAUUCUUUCCUGGAUUCUUUGCUUUGCAUAAUUAUACCUACAAUGAAACCUUAGAAGAAAAGAAUAUGAAUAAAUUGUUAAUAUAAAGUCCUACAGAAAUUAAUUUAUGAAAUUUCUCUAAAUCACACAAAACUUAAAUACAGAUGACUACUACCCUGAGACUGAAAAAUAUGUUCUAAUUUAUAGUGCUAUUUUUGGGCAGUUUUGGUGUCAGAAUACCUAUCAACACAUUCUUUUUUUAUUAGGAAAAAAAGGAUGUCUACAUAACAAUUUGUAAAGUGAUAAAAUCCAUUAGUUUUUAAGUCUUCUGAUAGCAUUGGCUAUUAUAAGAAACAAGUAUUUGCUCUCGUUUUUAACGGGAUAAUAAUGCUAUGUCUACAUAAAAUGAUUUCUACCACCUUAAAUAGCUCACUGUAGAAAUUCAUGUAUAAAUGGAACCAUAUAGUACAUACAUAUCAUACUCUUAGGUCUGGCAAAUAUUUGAGGUUCAUCCAUAUUUUAUAUUCACUCAUCAGUAGUUGUAAACACAUUCUUAAAGUAGCAUUUUCAGAUAUGAAUAAGCAGGGAUGAAAUAAGUAUUAGGGUAAGGGAAAUGGUUGAGGCUUUCCUAAGUGAAGUGUAAAAACCACAGCUUUCUUUUUAAUGGGAUGUCUAAUAUGCAUUUAUCUGUUCAAGCAUUUUAAGAUUUCCAUGAAAAUGUCCUGAAAAAUCAAGAUUCUUCAUUGAGGGUGAGGAUCUCCCAAUGGGAGACUGCUCUGAAAAGAGCAUGUGCUUUUUGAAUUAGAUAACCUACUAUAAUCAUGGAUGUUCUUGAAUACUUAGCAAACAUACCAGCAUCCCAAAGUCACCAAGAUAAACCCUCCUACUCCAACAUCACAUGAUCUUCUAAUUCUACCUGUAAAAAUAAGCAUAACAAUUAAUUAGAAUAUAAUUACGUUAUAUACAUUACUCCACCUAGAAAAAAAAAUAGUUCAUUAUGUAGAGAAAUGCUUUUUUUAGUACAUAGAGAAAUAAAAAAUACAGAUACUCACUAGUGAACAAAAAAUGUCCAAAGCCAGCCACAACAGAUCCUAAUGAACCAUACAAUAUUGAAUGCCGGGCGCAGGGAGUAUUUUCAACAUCUAAAAAUCCUAGGAGCUUAAGGGACUAGAAUGAAAAAAAAGAACCUAGAUUGAGUAAGAAAGUAUUUCAUUUUGGGGUGCUUUGGCAAAAAUGACAAUACACCAUUUCUUUUCUUGUAGUUGAGGGUUUAAACUAGAGUAUGUGCCACGUGACAACCUAAAUCAGCUUGCGUUGUCUUUGUCCACCUUUGGUAUGCAGUCUGAAUCUUUAAAUCCGAAAACCUUACAAAUUGGACCGGAAAACCCUUAAGCAGUAGGGUAACUUGGAGCUGUAUCUUAAUUUGCUAAUCAACUGACUUGGAAAUAGGAUAAUUCAUUUUAUGAGCUCUUUAAAUGAGUUUAUUUGGGAAUAUGCCUAUCAUUGGAAUUGAAAGCAGCAUAGCUUGCUUCAGUAACUCCAAUAAUUUGGGAAGCAGAAAUGGAAAAAGUAAUUUGAGUCAUGUUUGCUUAUGUAGUGCCGUUUAAAAUUCCCCUAGUAAUUACCUUUCAUAUUUUAUUAACUAGGUUAACAUCAACUGUGGUUGUAAGAGUAAAUGUUUCACCUUAAGAUAAACAUGGGCAAUAUAUUAAACUCUAGUCUGUUUUCUUGCCUGUGAAGUGAGGCUGCACUUGAUUAUAUUUGAUUCUUUGUUCGUAAUACAUGGGAACGACAGCUAAGUGUGGUGAAAAACGCGGGGAUCCAAAGAGCUGGAUUUUUAUCUCAGAUCUGCCGCUAACUUUUGUAUCCUAUAGGCUACUUUUAUUUCUAUGGUCUCAAUCUAUAACAUGAAUGGGUUGGGUUAAAUGACUGAAGUUCCUUCAAGUGCUAAAAUUCUUUUUCUACAGUCUUCAUUGGAUUUAUGUAUUUCUUAUUCCUAAUAUGUUUAACUGGGAUGUCUGUCACUCUAGGGCGGCAAGACAGACAUUUAAAAGUAACAGUCACACUGCUGAACUGGCAUUUCUGUUAACACAAAAGUUUAGAAAACUCACGGUAACUGUUACUUGAUUUAAGUGUAUAUAAAAUUUUCAGUAAGGCUGCUUUUAAAAGGAACCACUGUCCAUUUAAAGGUUUCAUAGUUAUCUUCAAUGGGUUAGUAUUGUUUGGGGCAGGACAUUAAACUAGAAGGGAUUCUAUAGGAUGAGGUGAUACCUAGAAGGUAAUAUAUUGUAAGGCAAAAGAGAUUAGAAGAAAUGGGGAAAGGAUAGUAAAAGGCAAGUCAGAUUAAAGGUUGAAACAUGAAGAUAUUCUCAAUUGUAUUUCUGCCUAUGUUUGCUUUUUUGGCUCAAGCAUCUGUUGGAAGAGACAAAAUGUGACUUGGUUCAUAAUAAAGCAAGAAUUAUUUACUCUCGGAUCAUUCUAUUCCAUUUUUUCCCUCUGUCUGGCCCCGUUCCCACCCGCAUGCCUAACAUAGGAUUGCUUCAAAGCUUUGCAGUACAGUUCUUCACAUUACCAAGAGGUUGGGGGAUUUCAUUUAGCAAGACGACUUUUUCCUAUCAGCUUGAGAGCCCAGGGGACAUAUGAUCAUGUGGGUAGUGUUAUGCAGGUGAGGAAUGCUGGACUUAGCGCUCCAGUCCAGGACUACCUCUAAACUAGACUAUUUCCCCAAGGAUGGGAUGCUGGGGCCAGAGGAUUAGUACCAGUUUGAUCUAGUCUUAGGUGCAAAGAUGCAAGUGUGAGACCAGC